CCUAAAAUUACUUUGACCAAAAUCUAUUUAGAGCUCACACUGUUGUCGGUAGAGCUACCAUUGCCAGAAAUCCCAAAGUCUUACUACAAAUCCCAUUUCCAAAACCAUGUGGAGGCAGGCAGGAAGGCAGCACAUGAACUUGUGAAGUCUUUUGAGGUGACAGGUGCUUGUGAAAAAGCCACAUUGCAGAGCUUUCAUUCCACGAUCUCGAAUGAAGAAGCAUCAUGACAGGCACCAAGUGUGAUUUUGUGAAGACUGAACACAUGUAUUGUAUCGACAGCUGCAGAGGCUCCGUGGUUGCUUCGAGUCCCAGCUGCCAUGGAAAGGACGUCAACAUGAACUCACGAGUUGCAGUGCUUUCUCUCCACAAUCUCGAACGAAGCAAGCAUCAUGACUCAGGUAGACUUGGCUAAUAAACAGAGGCAAAAAGAUGCAUAUUAGCAGCUGCAGAAGCUCUUUGGAUGCUUCAAAUCUCAGCCGCCAUGGAAAGGACUUCAACCUGAAGUAAGAAGUUGCAACAGUGCUUUCGCUCCAAAAUCUUGAAUGAAACAUGAUGAUUCAGCUGCAGAAGCUCCUCGGAUGCUUCGUCUCUCCAGCUACCAUGGAAAGACUUCGACCUGAACCAAGAAGUUGCGGUGCUUUCACUCAGGUAAGCUUGGCUUAAAGAAACAAGCAAGGUACAAAGCUGUAAUAUUUUG